rnacentral:rRNA from 1 species
AUUGAACGCUGGCGGAAUGCUUUACACAUGCAAGUCGAACGGCAGCACGGGGCAACCUGGUGGCGAGUGGCGAACGGGUGAGUAAUACAUCGGAACGUGCCCAGUCGUGGGGGAUAACGUAGCGAAAGCUACGCUAAUACCGCAUACGAUCUACGGAUGAAAGCGGGGGAUCGCAAGACAUCGCGCGAUUGGAGCGGCCGAUGGCAGAUUAGGUAGUUGGUGGGGUAAAGGCUCACCAAGCCGACGAUCUGUAGCUGGUCUGAGAGGACGACCAGCCACACUGGGACUGAGACACGGCCCAGACUCCUACGGGAGGCAGCAGUGGGGAAUUUUGGACAAUGGGCGAAAGCCUGAUCCAGCCAUUCCGCGUGCAGGAUGAAGGCCCUCGGGUUGUAAACUGCUUUUGUACGGAACGAAAAGGCUCUGGUUAAUACCUGGGGCUCAUGACGGUACCGUAAGAAUAAGCACCGGCUAACUACGUGCCAGCCGCCGCCGUAAGAC